UAUGUGAUCGUCUCUCGCAUAUCAAUAAGCGGAGGAAAAGAAACUAACAAGGAUUCCCCUAGUAACGGCGAGUGAAGCGGGAAGAGCUCAAAUUUGAAAUCUUAAAGGGUUUCCCUUUACGAAUUGUAGUUUAAAGAAGUGUUUUCUGUUGAGGUUUUGGUAAAAGUUCUUUGGAAUAGGACAUCAUAGAGGGUGAGAAUCCCGUAUUUGACCUUUACUUUCAACUUUGUGAUACACUUUCAAAGAGUCGGAUUGAUUGGGAAUGCAGUCCAAAAUGGGUGGUAAAUUUCAUCUAAAGCUAAAUAUUGGCGAGAGACCGAUAGCGAACAAGUACCGUGAGGGAAAGAUGAAAAGAACUUUGAAAAGAGAGUUAAACAGUACGUGAAAUUGUCAAAAGGGAAGCGUUUGACACCAGUGUUGUUUUUCUGAAAAUCAAUUAAAGAACUGUUUAUGCUAAGCUGUUUAGACUUUAUCAGCUAUCUGUUUAGUUUUGAGCUUUUCUUUAAUGCACUUUUCAGUUAACAAGUCAACAUCAAUUUCUUUUGCUGUAAAAAAGCUUGAGGAAGGUGGCUUGAGAUUCGUCUUAAGUGUUUAUAGCCUCUUGCCUAUGCAGUCGGAGAGAUUGAGGUCUGCAGCGUAGAUCCUUCGGGGCUAAAUGCAUUUGUGCUAAGUUAUAGCAUUUUAUAGACAACUUGUUGACUAUGAUUUGUCUUGUAGCUUACUCGCUUAUGUUAUUUUACCUACGCUUAGGAUGUUGAGCGCAUGUCUCUCUCU
rnacentral:rRNA from 1 species